rnacentral:rRNA from 1 species
AUUGAACGCUGGCGGCAUGCCUUACACAUGCAAGUCGAACGGCAGCACGGGAGCAAUCCUGGUGGCGAGUGGCGAACGGGUGAGUAAUAUAUCGGAACGUGCCCAGUCGUGGGGGAUAACGUAGCGAAAGCUACGCUAAUACCGCAUACGAUCUAUGGAUGAAAGCGGGGGAUCGCAAGACCUCGCGCGAUUGGAGCGGCCGAUAUCAGAUUAGGUAGUUGGUGAGGUAAAGGCUCACCAAGCCGACGAUCUGUAGCUGGUCUGAGAGGACGACCAGCCACACUGGGACUGAGACACGGCCCAGACUCCUACGGAGGCAGCAGUGGGAAUUUUGGACAAUGGGCGCAAGCCUGAUCCAGCAAUGCCGCGUGCAGGAUGAAGGCCU